AUGUCAUGGCAUAAUCUUCUAUCCCGACUGGAUUCGAUUAACCUGACACAAGGCCGGGUUGUUUUUCGCUGGAACCUUACUACAUCGGGGUCUUUCACAGUAGACUCUAUCUAUCGUGCGCUAAUGCAUUUUGAGGUACCAGUGAGUAAUAACAAGAAAAUUUGGAAGUCGAAGAUUUCACUAAAAGUUAAAAUCUUCAUGUGGUAUCUUCGUAGGGGAGUUGUGCUAACCAAAGACAACCUUGCAUGACGCAACUGGCCAGGAAGUAAGCAGUGUUGCUUUUGUGCUCAUGACGAGACAAUCAAGCACCUCUUUUUUCAAUGCAAGUUCUACAUGGUCAGUCAUCCAAAUCGCGUCAAAUUUGUAUCCGCCCAUAAGUGUUGCCAAUAUAUUUGA
rnacentral:rRNA from 1 species